AUGCAUGUCUAAGUAUAAGCAACUAUACGGUGAAACUGCGAAUGGCUCAUUAAAUCAGUUAUCGUUUAUUUGAUAGUACCUUACUACAUGGAUAACCGUGGUAAUUCUAGAGCUAAUACAUGCUAAAAACCUCGACUUCGGAAGGGGUGUAUUUAUUAGAUAAAAAGCCAAUGCCCUCCGGGGCGACUUGGUGAAUCAUGAUAACUCAACGAAUCGCAUGGCCUUGCGCCGGCGAUGGUUCAUUCAAAUUUCUGCCCUAUCAACUUUCGAUGGUAGGAUAGUGGCCUACCAUGGUAUCAACGGGUAACGGGGAAUUAGGGUUCGACUCCGGAGAGGGAGCCUGAGAAACGGCUACCACAUCCAAGGAAGGCAGCAGGCGCGCAAAUUACCCAAUCCCGACACGGGGAGGUAGUGACAAUAAAUACUGAUACAGGGCUCUUUUGGGUCUUGUAAUUGGAAUGAGUACAAUUUAAAUCCCUUAACGAGGAACAAUUGGAGGGCAAGUCUGGUGCCAGCAGCCGCGGUAAUUCCAGCUCCAAUAGCGUAUAUUAAAGUUGUUGCAGUUAAAAAGCUCGUAGUUGAACCUUGGGCCUGGCUGGCCGGUCCGCCUCACCGCGUGCACUGGUCCGGCCGGGCCUUUCCUCCUGGGGAGCCGCAUGCCCUUCACUGGGCGUGUCGGGGAACCAGGACUUUUACUUUGAAAAAAUUAGAGUGUUCAAAGCAGGCCUUUGCUCGAAUACAUUAGCAUGGAAUAAUAGAAUAGGACGUGUGGUUCUAUUUUGUUGGUUUCUAGGACCGCCGUAAUGAUUAAUAGGGAUAGUCGGGGGCAUCCGUAUUCAAUUGUCAGAGGUGAAAUUCUUGGAUUAAUUGAAGACGAACUACUGCGAAAGCAUUUGCCAAGGAUGUUUUCAUUAAUCAGUGAACGAAAGUUAGGGGAUCGAAGACGAUCAGAUACCGUCGUAGUCUUAACCAUAAACUAUGCCGACUAGAGAUCGGUGGGUGUUAUCAUUUUGACCCCAUCGGCAUCUUACGAGAAAUCAAAGUUUUUGGGUUCUGGGGGGAGUAUGGUCGCAAGGC
rnacentral:rRNA from 1 species